AAUUUGGGACAAUGGGGGAAACCGUGAUCCAGCCAGCCCGCGAGUGCGAGGAAGGCCUUCGGGUUGUAAAGCACUUUUGUCAGGGAAGAAAAGGUUCUGGCUAAUAGCCGGAAUUGAUGACGGUACCGGAAGAAUAAGCACUGGCGAACGACGAGCCAGCAGACGUGGGAAUACGUAGGGUGCAAGCGUUAAUCGGAAUUACUGGGCGUAAAGCGUGCGCAGGCGAUUCGGAAAGACGGAUGUGAAAUCCCAGGGCUCAACCUUGGAACUGCAUUCUUAACUACCGAACUAGAGUAUGUCAGAGGGGAGUAGAAUUCCGCGUGUAGCAGUGAAAUGCGUAGAUAUGCGGAGGAAUACCGAUGGCGAAGGCAGCCCCCUGGGAUAAUACUGACGCUCAUGCACGAAAGCGUGGGUAGCAAACAGG
rnacentral:rRNA from 1 species